CCUGGUGGCUCAGACUGUAAAGCGUCUGCCUGCAAUGCGGGAGACCCGGGUUCGAUUCCUGGGUCAGGA
rnacentral:tRNA from 1 species